UCCAAUCUAUUGGCCAGUUUUCGGGGUACAAAAUAAAGAAAUACAUUAAUUAAAGGGUGGAAACUUAAGUGCAGUCGAUUUUAUGUGAAAUUGAUAAUUGAGAGUCGUUAAAUGAUUUGACUGAUUUGACUAAAUUUUCAUUUAACGGCUCUCAACUAUCUAUCAAUUUCACGUGAAGUUGACUGUACUUUGAGUUUUCAACUAAUUAAAGACUUGGCACAAGUUUAAAAUCUAUUAGCGUUUGAUGAAGUAAUAGAUUCUUGUUGAUGCGCCGCUGAUACACCUGAAAUAAGUACUUGUUAGUCUUAUUAUUAGCUUCAUCUUUUGCCAGC
rnacentral:lncRNA from 1 species